rnacentral:rRNA from 1 species
GACGAACGCUGGCGGCGUGCCUAAUACAUGCCAGUCGAACGCUUCUUUCCUCCCGAGUGCUUGCACUCAAUUGGAAGGAGGAGUGGCGGACGGGUGAGUAACACGUGGGUAACCUACCCAUCAGAGGGGGAUAACACUUGGAAACAGGUGCUAAUACCGCAUAACAGUUUAUGCCGCAUGGCAUAAGAGUGAAAGGCGCUUUCGGGUGUCGCUGAUGGAUGGACCCGCGGUGCAUUAGCUAGUUGGUGAGGUAACGGCUCACCAAGGCCACGAUGCAUAGCCGACCUGAGAGGGUGAUCGGCCACACUGGGACUGAGACACGGCCCAGACUCCUACGGGAGGCAGCAGUAGGGAAUCUUCGGCAAUGGACGAAAGUCUGACCGAGCAACGCCGCGUGAGUGAAGAAGGUUUUCGGAUCGUAAAACUCUGUUGUUAGAGAAGAACAAGGACGUUAGUAACUGAACGUCCCCUGACGGUAUCUAACCAGAAAGCCACGGCUAACUACGUG